rnacentral:rRNA from 1 species
CCUACGGGAGGCACCAGGCGAGAAAACUUUGCAAUGUGCGAAAGCACGACAAGGUUAAUCCGAGUGGUUUCUGCUAAAGAAACCUUUUGUUAGCCCUAGAAACACUGAUGAAUAAGGGGUGGGCAAGUUCUGGUGUCAGCCGCCGCGGUAAAACCAGCACCUCAAGUGGUCAGGAUGAUUAUUGGGCCUAAAGCAUCCGUAGCCGGCUAUGUAAGUUUUCGGUUAAAUCUGUGCGCUUAACGUACAGGCUGCCGGGAAUACUGCAUAGCUAGGAAGUGGGAGAGGUAGACGGUACUCGGUAGGAAGGGGUAAAAUCCUUUGAUCUAUUGAUGACCACCUGUGGCGAAGGCGGUCUACCAGAACACGUUCGACGGUGAGGGAUGAAAGCUGGGGGAGCAAACCGGAUUAGAUACCCCAGUAGUC